rnacentral:rRNA from 1 species
GCGGUGGAGCAUGUGGUUUAAUUCGAAGCAACGCGAAGAACCUUACCAGGUCUUGACAUCCCGAUGCUAUUUCUAGAGAUAGAAAGUUACUUCGGUACAUCGGUGACAGGUGGUGCAUGGUUGUCGUCAGCUCGUGUCGUGAGAUGUUGGGUUAAGUCCCGCAACGAGCGCAACCCCUAUUGUUAGUUGCCAUCAUUCAGUUGGGCACUCUAGCGAGACUGCCGGUAAUAAACCGGAGGAAGUGGGAUGACGUCAAAUCAUCAUGCCCCUUAUGACCUGGGCUACACACGUGCUACAAUGGUUGGUACAACGAGUUGCGAGUCGGUGACGGCGAGCUAAUCUCUUAAAGCCAAUCUCAGUUCGGAUUGUAGGCUGCAACUCGCCUACAUGAAGUCGGAAUCGCUAGUAAUCGCGGAUCAGCACGCCGCGGUGAAUACGUUCCCGGGCCUU